rnacentral:rRNA from 1 species
GGUCAGGAUGAACGCUAGCUACAGGCUUAACACAUGCAAGUCGAGGGGCAGCAUGAGCUUAGCUUGCUAAGCUGAUGGCGACCGGCGCACGGGUGAGUAACGCGUAUCCAACCUUCCCCUUAGUAGGGCAUAGCCCGGUGAAAAUCGGAUUAAUACCCUAUGUUCUUCACAGCGGGCAUCUAACGUGAAGCAAAGGUUCACCGCUAAGGGGUGGGGAUGCGUCUGAUUAGGUAGUCGGCGGGGUAACGGCCCACCGAGCCAUCGAUCAGUAGGGGUUCUGGGAGGAAGGUCCCCCACAUUGGAACUGAGACACGGUCCAAACUCCUACGGGAGGCAGCAGUGAGGAAUAUUGGUCAAUGGUCGAGAGACUGAACCAGCCAAGUAGCGUGCAGGAUGACGGCCCUAUGGGUUGUAAACUGCUUUUAUGCGGGGAUAAAGUCACCCACGUGUGGGUGUUUGCAGGUACCGCAUGAAUAAGGACCGGCUAAUUCCGUGCCAGCCGCAGC